CAGGGAAUAGUUUAAGAAGAAUUUCAGUUUUGGGUAUUGAUAGCGAGGUAAGUGGACCUCUUCCCUGA
ensembl:Mt_tRNA